AUCGAGGAGGAGCAGUGGAAGCUCGCCGGUCUCAUAAGCCGGAGGUCACAGGUUCGAGUCCUGUCCUCGAAA
rnacentral:tRNA from 1 species